AAUUGAUUUAUUUCUUAAAUGAACGAUAUUCUUAUUUUUGGUUUUUCAUAGUUUAAAGUUUGAUCUUUUGUUGAAAAGGAAUUGGUUUUCUUUUUUUUGACAUAUGGUCAGUUUAGUGAGGGCUGGUUAUUUAACUUUACACAUCCUCAUGACAUUUUCUACGCAUCCUUAUGACAGUUUCUACCUAUAGUUGCAUUUUAAAUGUUAAUUGUAUAAUCUCCACAACAGUGCUGGUUUAAUAUGGAGAUUCAUGUUUUGUGGUUGUAAUGCUUUUCAAUUGUUAACUAAUGACUUCUUGGAGAUUGACAUAUUUUAAUCUUUGUUCUAAGCCACAUCUUAAUGUGUACAACAAACCAUAUUUUAUUUAUGUUUUGUACUAUAAUAUUCAAUAAUUCAAUCAUCAUCCUAAUUAGCUUAUGCUCCAUAUAUAGAUGCAAUACUGUGUGUGGAAUAAAUUGAUUACUUAGUCUAUUUAAGUACGAGAGUUAUUAUAUUGGAUUAUUGAUGGAUCAUCUUGUGGUGUAAAGUGUGCCCUCUAAAAUGUUUGCAAACCUGUAAGAAGGAUCCAAGAGGCUAAUUUUGCCUGAAUAGAUAGGUAAACUUUAAUAUUUGUUGGUUUUGUUUUAUUCAAUUCUCAAUGCUAUUGUUUCAAAAAAUUCAUUAUUGCUGGUAUUAUGCCUUGUGAUCAAAUGUGGUUCAAGUUUAACUUGUUUUACUUCAACGGAUGCUGUGUUACUAGUUAUAUCAUGCCAUUUAAUCAAGGCCGAUCUCUAAAUUGUGUUAUGAUCUAGUUUAAUCUGAGUUCUGAAAACCAAUCAUCCUAUUACCUCUGGCUUCAUAUUGCAUAAUAUUAAGAAUUGGUUUCGUAUGCCAAUUGAGUUACCUAAAUAUUUAUUGGAUUUUUAGUCAAUUUUCUUUAUUUGUCCUUGAAUUGUAGAGUUUCUUACUUGCCAUGUUGGUCAAAUUUCUAUGCUUUGUAUGGUAAUAUAGUUGUGCUUAUGAUAUUCAACAACCUUUUUCUAUGCUCUUUUGAAUGGUGAUGAAAUUGCAAGUACUAGUGUUAUUCUUAAUCAAUUAUAGGCUCUAACUUGAUGUUUCAAUAAUAUUCCCAUCCCCUUUUUUUUUCUUUGACAUGAACUUAAGAAGCUACUGUUGCCCAUUUCCUUACGUAUUUCAUAAUUAACUUCUUUUUUUUUCUCUCAUUAGCUAAAAUACUUAAAUAUGUAAUUGCUAGUAAAUUUUUUUCACCUAUUGGUAAAUAUUUGGGAUAACAUAAUUCUAUUAUCUACCUAUCAUAUGAUAAUUUAUGUUGUGUGCUUAAAGUUGCUUUUCCUAUAUAUCCAUGUUUUGAAAUGAAAGGAUAGUUUAUUCUAAUGCUCAUUUAUGUUUCUAUUAUCGAUUAUAUUACUGGGAUCACAUAAGACAUGCAUGAAUUUCUUGUUUUGAAUUACAUGCUGCAGCAAUAUCGAAUUCCUUCUGCUGUGUGUCUGCUCACUUGCUCGUACAUAUUUAUUCAGCUUGAUAUUUUUAUUAUUGUAAUUGAAGGUGCAUACUCUUUUUGUACCCAUUACAUGCUUUAUUUAAAGUCUUAAAUUACAAGAUUUGGGUUCAAGUUUGUUGUAUUAUGCAUUAUCCUCUGUAAUCUUCAAUUUCAGAAUGUCGUGACAUCUUGACAAAUCAUGUUUCAUCAUAAUCAUGCACAUGCUUAUUAUUGGUUCAUUAUGAAUGGAUGACCCAUUACGCAUUUUGUUUGUGAAAAUCCAGACCUAGCUAUGAUUGCCUUCCUCAAUAUAAUAUAGUGUGAGUAGGAGUUUCUUCUUGGUGUUGUAUUUAAAUAAGAUGUUAUUUUUGUUUUCCGAUUGUUUUCUUACAAUUCUAGUUGGUUUUUGGAUAUUUGAAGGGAUUUAUGGCCUCAUGAAUAUAUAUAUAUAUAUAUAUAUAUUUGAAGUUGUUUCUUGUCUGUUGCUCCAUUGCUUCUCCAAUUGACUAGGUGGAAGUAUUGAACCAUACAAUGGCUACAUUGCUCGCACAAUAACUGGUACACCAUAGGUUGUUAUAUCUAAGUGUUGCCGAUAUGGAUGAUGGACUGAAUGUAAGGGAGAGAAUUUGCUUUAUCCUGGAGGGUCUUCAUUUCAAUGGGAAAUGAAUUAAUGUGUAUGCACUGCUCAGAAAAUAUCAAUGAACAAGGAGAUGGAAAAGCUAAUACUUUGAAGUAGAGAGAAGGAAGUGAUCAAAGUCACACAACUGAGCUGCUAGGUCUUCAUGUACUGAAGCCUGCUUAACACUAUGAUGGACUUGGGAAGUGAGGUCCAUGAUUGUGCUGGUGGGUGGUUUCUUGCUAUGCUGGAGAAUGAGAGUCUUGUUGAUACUUUUGAACAAAUGGAUGUGGUGACACAUCAAUCUUUAUCAAGGGUGUUAUGCAGAUCUUACAGACUAGUACAUGCACUUCAAUGAAUCUGGUUUAUGUCUUUGACCUGGUCACAGUUGACAUUCAGCAGAACAAUGGAUAAGGAUAUGAGAUGUUUGUUAAAGAUGGCUUCUGCAAUGAGGCCAUGUUUUCAGUUGAUCGUCUUCCAUAUUGAAACACAUAAGUGAUCCAACUGUUCUUUCUUUUAUUCAGAAAAGGGGAUAAAACAGAUCCGUAAUAUAUAUAUAUAUAUAUAUAUAUAUAUGAAAGAAACAAGUGCUAACAGAUGAAAUUUUGACAAAUCUAAUUUACUAAUUAACAUGUCAUCUUUUGAUCAGUCUUCAUGUUAUACAGAAAGCAUAAUUAUCCAUGUGCACUCUGUUGACUUGCACAAAUAUUAAAGUGCCUUGUAUUAUCUUUAUUCUAGGCUUGAAGUAGCAAAACUUCUUUUUUAAGUAUAUUUAGAGGAUACUAUUACUAGUCCUGCUGACAACAAGGCAAAUAUACCUACGGCUAUCUAGCAAUAAAGUAGUAACGAUAAGUUCAUAACUGGAAAACUGUAUGGAGGCUGCACACUCACUGCUGAGUUUUCAAGAACAUAAUAAUAUGCAAGUGCAUAAUUUGCCAUUUCCAUUUCUCAAAUGAUAAUGCUUUCUCCUUUUACAGGAUUAUGUUGUGCACAAUUGCUAGCACUGUAAAGUGUUUUUUUUGUUGUACAUCACAUGCCAAGUUUCCCAUUUUAUUUAUCUCAUCUAAGUUAGUUGUGUGCCAUUAUCAAUUCUUUUUUAUUUGUCUGCCCAGAUAUGAUCUAUUGUAUUUUUCUAAUAUUUCUUUGAGAACCAGGACAGUUCUUGUUUUAUUUUCUUUAACAUUUGCUGAGAAGAAGUUGAAAAUAAAGAUUUUAUUAGAAUACUUGAAAUCAGCAGUUAUUAUCAGAAUUAGAUGACCUUGGUGGAUGAGCUAGAUCAAUUUUUAAUAUAUUGGUAUGAAGCCAGAUGUACAUAUUUAUGAUAUUAGAUAUCUAGAAAGAACAGAAUACUAUGUGCAGGAGUUUGUUGAAUCUGAAAUAAUUGCAUCCUUAAUGAUGUGCAAUACCAAGGCUCCCGUUCUCUCCAUCAUCAAUUUCAGGCCGGAUGAGGUCUCCCAUCCCUUCAUCAGCUCAGUCUUUCUUUGCUCCAGCCCUAAAGCAAUAAAUGUAAUACCCCAAUCAGAUUGGAAGCGGCCCAAAAAGAAAGCGAAUUAGGAUGGCGCUGUUCCGGCCUUAAUAGAAAGCUGGAAUUGACUGAGAAACCCUGGAGACUGUGAAGAUACACAACUUGUCUGUGGUCUGCGAGAAGUACUUGUGGUCUGUAAAGUUAUCUGGGGCCCAGUUUCUAUCUCUGACUAUAAAAAAGACCAAGAAAGUGGUUUGAGGGCAAGAAAGGCAGGGAGAAAAGGGACUAGUGGCUGAAAAAUAAGAAAGGAAGUUCUGAAGACUUUGAAGGAGGCUAGAAAAGGAAAGGAGAGCCAGGAAUUUCAAGAACACAUCCUUGUAGACAUUAUAGGGAGUCCUCUCAGCCUUGUUAUGCUGUAUUUUGCAGAACUUUUACUCUUUCUAUUUUUCUUUGUAAUUGAGACAAUAUGUGUGUAAAACCUUUCUUAGGUUUGGGGUUAGCCCAAGGUGGUGAUUGUUUGAUGUGUUGAUUCUUUUUGUAUGGAUCCU